UACAGAGGAUGCAAGUUUUAUUCGGAAUUAUUGGGCGUAAAGCGUCUGCAGGUUGAUGUAAAAGUCUUUUGUUAAAUAUCAGGGCUCAACCCGGAAUCUGCAAAAGAAACUAUAUAUCUCGAGUAUGGUAGAGGUAAGGGGAAUUUCCAGUGGAGCGGUGAAAUGCGUAGAUAUUGGAAAGAACACCGAUAGCGAAGGCACCUUACUGGGCCAUUACUGACACUCAGAGACGAAAGCUAGGGUAGCAAACGGG
rnacentral:rRNA from 1 species